GUAAUGAUUUUUUAUUUUCUCUAGCUACGCGCUCCAACGUCGCGAUUGCGAGGUCCGUUCUCCCGUUUGCCAUGUCGAACAUCGUAGACUCCGGAAGCCACUGCAAAUACAUGCAAUACUGAAUACUUGCAAAGAUGAACAGCGGGACGGAUGAUAGUAUCAGAAGCCACUGCCAUCCGAAGUUGGGCAUGACGAUCAAGGCAAUCGCGACCUCGAAACAAGCGCCGAGAGCCCAGAAACACUAGCAACAUAAAUUGUUUUUAUACUAUCGCUGCAAUAAAAAUAUGUUAUACAUAA